ensembl:lncRNA
GCUUCCAGUGUUGCUACUGAGAGGUCUGGUGUUGUUCUCAUCCCUGAUCCUUUCAACUGACCUGUAUUUCCUUUCUGAGUUCUUUUGGAGCCUUUUCUUUAUCCCCGGUGUUUUGACAUUUCAUGAAAGACUUCUGGAGAAAUGACAGUCCCUUGCUACUGUGUUUAAUUGGAGAGGAUCUCAGAGACCCGAGAUUAUAAUUAUGACGCCCUAAAUGCCGAGCUCUUCAAAAGUCUGCCAUUGCCCUUGCUGUCACCCUGAACAGCUCUGAAAAUUCAAACCCUGCAGCCCCCAGAGCAUGCCCUGGGUCUCUCAGCCACGCCUCACCUGGGAAAUCUGAGUGAUGGUGACGUGCAGGCAGCAGAAAGACACGCAGUAAACCCAGGAGCCUGUGAUGAGCUCAGAAGAGACAUUUUCAGACAUUAACUACCAUCAUCUUGGGAAGAUUUAGGCCUCAACAUGCCACCACCAGCAGGAAUGACAAGGAUG